CCUACGGGUGGCAGCAGUGGGGAAUAUUGGGCCAUGGACGCAACCCUGACCCAGCAACGCCGCGUGAAUGAUGAAGGUCCUCGGAUUGUAAAGUUCUUUUAUGGGGGAUGAACACAAUGACGGUACUCCAUUAGUAAGCCACGGCUAACUACGUGCCAGCAGCCGCGGUAAUACGUAGGUGGCAAGCGUUAUCCGGAUUGACUGGGUGUAAAGGGCGUGUAGGGGGUUCUGUAAGUUAGAUGGGAAAUCCAGGGGCUCAACCUCGGCGCUGCCGCCAAAACUGUUGUCCUGGAGUGCAGGAGAGGUAAGUGGAAUGCCGGGUGUAGCGGUGAAAUGCGUAGAUAUAAGGAGGAACAUCAGUGGCGAAGGCGGCUUGCUGGACUGUAACUGACGCUGAGGCGCGAAAGCGUGGGGAGCAAACAGGAUUAGAUACCCGUGUAGUC
rnacentral:rRNA from 1 species